AUACUGUAUUGUUUCGGGAAUGAUGACAAGAACAAAGUCUGCAUAUGUUCAGUAGGGACAUAGCCAUCCUAUCUCUUCUCUGAAUGUUUGCCAGUUCUUUCUGGGGUCAGCUCCCUGACCAGGAUAGUUCCAGGCCUUGUGCAUGUCCUCAGCUCUGCCUGGUUGCCUUACAGUGAGAUGAAGCUGCCCCCAUCAGUUCCCAGGAGGCCAAGCAAAGGCGGCAGGAGCUGACACACAAGAUCAAGUGGAUGGAAAUGCUGGGAGAAUGGGAGAAACCUGGUUGAGAGUCUAUAAAGGGAUUCCCGUGAACGUCCGGGGCCAGGUGUGGUCAGUCCUCCUGACAUUCAGGAAAUCAAGGCAAAGAACACCAGGAAAUACCAGGUCAUGAAGGAGAAGAGGAAGACGUCCUGCCCACACGUCUGCCAGAUCGACCUGGAAGUGAGCAAGACACUCACAAACCAUCUCCUGUUCAGGGAUCCAUGUGGAGUCAACUAAGCCGGGGUGAACCAGAGGGAUGGAUCUUCCCCGCAGCAGAAGCCGGGGUCACCCAGGAGGGAUGACAGAGCGGCCAAGGACUCUCCUGGCCCAGGGGGCAGCUGGCACCAUGGACCGAGCGGCUCCCAGGUGCCAAGCCCCAGGCCAGGCUGGAACGUGUGGGGCCAGAAUCCAGGAGGAUCCUGAGGAGACAGGGCAGCAAACAAAACCAUGCGCGAUGGUGAAAAGUGCUCUCCCUGACCCACGGGGACUGCUGGUAGCACCCACAGGAGGGCAGUAGGAUGGAGGACCCAUGAGCCUCCCCAGGCAGCACUGACAGCACCAAACGCUGGGGGCACUGGGAGUCUUGGAAACUCUCAUCCAGGUCUGCUGGGAAUGUGACGUGGCACAGCCACAGUUGGACGGUGGCUCACAAAGCUCGGUGGAUUUGAACCACACGUCCCCAAAGUGUCACAGAUAUUGAACCCACUGACUUGGAAACUGACGUCCACAUGAAGCCUGCAUGCCACAUUCACUGCUUCAUUCAUCAGCACGCACACACGGAGCCUUCCCGGACAACCUUCAGCACGGGAAUGGGGCGAUGGGGCGAGGAAGGCUGGUCCUCCCUUCAAACAGAAGACUCAGUGAGAAAAGGGAGCAAGCCAGUGAUGUCUGAACGAACCUGGUGGCUCCUAGAUGCGUUUUGCUAAGGGAAAGAAGCCAGAAACAGUAAGCGACCGCUAGGAUUCCCAUUCAUAGGCCAUUCUGGAAAAGGCCAAACCAGAGGGACUGAGAACCGGUCUGGGGGACCAGGAGCUGACGGAAUGGGGGAGAGUUGGAGGAGGAAGGAGUCGCUCCAGGAGGGGCUGGAGUGGUGGCCGGGAGACUCUGCACAUUGGGUUAGAACCGUGGCGGAACUGUACGCCCAAAGACUGAACUGGCAUGUGUGCAAACUGAAAAAAAAAAAAUCAGAGCAAAAAUGAUUAGUCAACUCACCAUCCAACUGGGCCGUUUGCAUUUCACAGAUGUGGAUUUCACUGAAACCUUUCAUGAACAGUCAAAGGCCCUGAGGAGCUCACUGCUUAUCUGGUGAAUCAUCUGAACCUGAAAUGGGGUUUGCUGUUAGAGUUUGUAGACAAAGUGACACUAACAGCAUCUGCACAAAAGAAACAAAAGCCCCCUUUCUCUGUUUCCUAGGCGGCGGGAACUGUAUUCCACAUCCUGCUGGCGUAUUCAGAGUAUAACCUGUGACUCUGGCUCUUGCAGGAGGUGGGCUACUGCGGAGACCUGAGCCAGGUGGCCACCUUGUUCCUGCUUUAUCUGCCUGAGGAGGACACCUUCUGGGUACUGCUCGCCAGUGAGAGGCACUCCCCGCAGGGAUUCCACAGCCCAAAUGGCGGACAGUCCAGAGGCUCCAAGACCAUCAGGAGCGUGUGGUACCCACGUCACAACCCAAGGCAUGUGGCAUCUGGUUGAGACAGAGCUUCAUCUGUGGUGACAUUCUGGAUGUACUGGACAAACACCUCAUUCCAGCAGCUAACAACGGCAAGUUCAGUGUUGGCUAUUACGAAAUGUAGCUUCUAUACUAGGAGGGAUUAAAAGUCGGCCCUUUUCGAAUCAUGACUUUCUUCUACGUAGGUUUUCAACUUUUAUUUAAAAGUAACUGCUUAAUGUGAGAAGGAUAGUUAGUACUGGAAUAAAAAGAUGGCCAGGCUGUGAUAACAAUGCAUUAGCUUCCGCUUUCGUGGGACCGACCCCGUUCCCCUCCCCCAAACACCCGUACAUUUCACAGUGCGUCUGAAUGGCUCGCGCAGAAAUGUUGUUUUACGAUUAAACACUGUCGUGCUAUUUC